UACGGAGGGUGCAAGCGUUAUCCGGAUUCACUGGGUUUAAAGGGUGCGUAGGUGGAGUGGUAAGUCAGUGGUGAAAUCUCCAAGCUUAACUUGGAACUGCCGUUGAUACUAUCAUUCUUGAAUAUCGUGGAGGUAAGCGGAAUAUGUCAUGUAGCGGUGAAAUGCUUAGAUAUGACAUAGAACACCGAUUGCGAAGGCAGCUUGCUACACGAUCAUUGACACUGAGGCACGAAAGCGUGGGGAGCAAACGGG
rnacentral:rRNA from 1 species